rnacentral:tRNA from 1 species
ACCGAAACACCUCACUUGGGAGAGCGUUAGACUAUAGAUCGAAAAGUCCCUGGUUCGAUCCCGGAUUCCGGUA